CUGGCUCAGAUAAGAACUGGUCCUAAUCACAGGGCAGGAAAUAGCCCCUGUAUCAAUCAGUGCUUACUAGAGAAACAGAUUUAGUGCAAGACCUACAAAUAUAAGACUUCACAAGACUGGCGUCAGAUACUGAAGGAUGCCAAUAGGCUGCCUGUACACUGGAGAUACAAAGGAUCCAGUCAAAGGCCUGGAGCUCACUGUAGAGUCCCGUGAAGUCCCCAUGAGGAUGCCGCAGGGUCUGUGCUGAAGGCUGUGGAGUCCCAGCUGGAAGCCAGAAGAUGAGGCCCAAGGUGAAGGUGAAGAUCAGAGCUCCUCUGGAAGAAACAGAAAAUUGCGGCCUGGUACCGGGAGUGUUCAAAACACAAAGGCAUGUGUUGUUCGGUGUGAAGAAGAGGAGAGCGUCUGGCCUCACAAUGACACACUUGAGGUUAUUGGUGGCAGGGUCACAUGGUUCCACCCACGCUGCACCGAGUCAGUGGAAGAGGAAAUGGCUGGAUGUCAUUUGAGAGGACAGCUGGCCCACUGACCACUUGGCAGCAGGCCGGGGCGUCUGCGAACACAGCCCGACAUCCAGACCCAGAGUGCAGGGCAGCUGAGCGGCUGCACCACGCAUCUACGGUAAAGAAGAAAUGCAGCAGA